rnacentral:lncRNA from 1 species
ACAUCAGACCCCAGGUUCUUUGUCCUUUGCACUCUUUGAACUUACACCAGCGGUUUGCAAGGGGCUCUUGGGCCUUUGGCCACAGACUGAAGGCUGCACUGACCAUUUUCCUACUUUUGAGGUUUUGGGACUUGGACUGAGCCGCUACUGGCUUCCUUGCUCUUCAACUUGCAGACAGCCUGUAGUGGGACUUCACCUUGUGAUCAUGCUGCUGACUAACUUAAUGAACUGAACGGAUUAAAAUGGUGCAAGAGAAAAGGGCAUUUUUACACAAAAGGAAGCAUUUUCUGUGUUCCAGUUCAGCUGUUCCAAUGACAUUUGGUGGUGUUAUCAGUGUGAAUUAUAGACAAGCAAGUUUCUUUAUCCAGACUGACGCAUCAACCAUGAUCUAGCAUUUGCAAGAUGUGUAAUUACUUUGACUUUCAAGAAAACAUCUUCUGAUCUAAGGAACUUCCCAAGAUAUCAAAGACAGUUCUGGCCCGCCACACCCUUAUCCUGUGCCCAUAUAAACCCCAAGCUCCACAAACAGAGGAGUAGAGGAGCAGCAGAGUGGCAGAGCAGCACACCAGAGAAGGAGAGAAGAGGAGGAGUGUCUGAACGUAGGGAGGAGUCCGGCUGGGGACGGUUGGAGAGGAGCUCAGCUGUGGGAUGACUGAACUCCAGGCAAGAUCAUCUUCCCACUCCAUCUCCUCUCCAGCUCCCCAUCCAUCCCACUGAGAGCCACUUCCACCACUCAAUAAAAUCCUCGCAUUCACCAUCCUUCAAGUCCGAGUGACUUGAUUCUUCCUGGAUGCCAGACAAGGACCCCGGUACCAAGAGGGCAGGAUGUUAAGGCUGUCACCCGGACUCUCCACUGAGCAGGUUUAAUUCCUAGCCAUCCUCGGACAGCAAAACUGCUAAAAGGGCAUUAAUUGUAAUACACCCCUAGAUGCUAUAGUGGGGCCAGAGCCCAGAAGCUUGCUCCCUGUCUCCUGCACCUGCCCCUCUGCAUGCUCCCCCUUCUGUAAGGGGUUUGAGUAAAUGACAGACAAGCAAAGGAGCCACACCUUUGUCACAAGUCCUGCAAGGGGGUCAGGGAACUCUCUUAUUUCAUUAGGAACCAGAAACAAUUACUGGGUGCUCAAAAUAUGGCAAAUAUGGCAUUCAUAGAUAUUUUAACCUUCAUUUCUCUAAUCUAUUAAUUUUACUUUAAAGCUGGCUGGCUCAGGAAUACUCUCACAGUGAUGGCAGAAGAGCAAAUCUGGAAGUUCAAACACUCAAAUGUGUUGUUGGAUUUCUGCAUGCAUCACAUGGGCUAACAACUGGUCAAAGCAAAUCACAUGGCCAAACUAAAAAUCAAAGGCCUGGAAGGUAGACCCUACUUUUCUAUUAAGAUGAACUGCCUAGUAACAUAGGAAAAGGUGGUGAAACCAUGAAAGAUGAAAAAUACAGGGCUGCAAUGUUAUCUACCUCAUUUAUUUUGAUACUCUAGACCUAAGGGGAGUAGUGGAUUAACACGGGUACUAGUCUCUGGGUGUUGUGCCAUCUGUUGUUGGUUUCCUUAACGAUGACAAACUUAUAAGUAUAUUCUUUCAACUAAAUUCAUUUGAGUAUAAUGUUUUCAAGACAAUGGAUUGAUAUACAGUAGACAUAGCUUAUGUAAACAACCUGUGUAUCAAUCCUGUUGACUUAGGCUUUUACCAAUAGUUGUUUUCUAUCGAACCUUCAUUAAAGCUCCACAUGGUUAAUAAUCCAGGGUCUCUUUCAUGUAGCUUCAUCUCCGUUGUUUUAAGUUCUCUAAUUUUAGGAAGUCCAUGGUUUUAUAUUAAGCUGAUAUGGUUAUGCUUAAAACCAGCAUGGGACCUGGAGAAUGACACACAAGAUAUCCAACCAAUGUAGUUUUUUAUGUAAUUUCUCUUGUUUGAAUAGAUGUACCAUUCAUACUUCUACUACUGUAGAGACGGGUUCACAGGUAGGUAGUGACUAGGAGACAUCUACUUUGAAAACUAAUAAAAAUAUUUGGCUGUCUAAAAAAUAUGCACUACCCAAAUCAGUGCAGUAUAGGGUAAAUAAUUUUAAAAAGAAUGUUAGGGAGCAAAUUCUUGGUGGUUUCUUACAUUUAUGCAUUAUCUUACAAAUGAGGACACAUUUGUACCUUUUUCCAAACUGUGUUUUUAAAAGUGUUUGUAUAAGAGCCUUAGAAAAUAUAGAGUAUCUACUUUUGAAGAGCAAAAAAUAAACAUUCUAACUGAACAGUUAAAAAUAAUGGGCAUACAUAAACUCGGGAUUUUUCUGCAGUAAGGAAGCUUACCGCUUAUGCAGGUUUAACUAUCCCUCUUCACAUUACCCUGUGAAAACUGGGUCUCAGAAACUGGUGCAGAAAUGCCAGUACUCUAGCUAUGCUGAUUGUUGAUAAUAAAAAACUCUACAGACAAAGUGCUAUAUUGAAGGUUACAGAAGAAUAAAGAAGUUCUGAAUAGAACAGAAGCUUUCAUAAGGCAGGGGUUAUAACGACCAACAGAGACUCCACAAAACCAUUUACUCACAAGAGAAAAUAUGGCACGGAUUGGAUUAGAAGUGGAAAGACUAAUGCAUUUUUGUCCAUAAGGAUUAGAAGAAAAAUGGUUCUCUCAGCUCUGCAAGUGAGCACAACAAGCAAUCCAAAAGCAUUAUUUGUGUGAAGCAGUUUGUAGAAUUUGUUCCAUUUGUCACUAGAACUAGUGUUUGAAGCUCAGCAAAAGUUGAGUUAUGGUUAAGCCCCAGGGUCAGUGGCCACGUGUUCAGAGUAGUACCUUAGGUUUAAAGCUGAUUCACAACCUGAAAAACACUCAGUGGUGUUCUCUCCCAAAUUAUCAAUCAUUACCUUGUGGUGUUUUAAAAAGAGGAUAGAAGAUUGCUUGACCAGAAAAUAAUGACAAUAAAA